GUGCCACUUCAGCAGCACAUACAGUGAAACAGGAACAAUACAGAGAAGAUUAGCAUGGCCUCGACACAAGAUGACACUCAAACUUAUGAAGUUUCUACAUAUUUUU
ensembl:snRNA U6 U6 spliceosomal RNA